rnacentral:rRNA from 1 species
CCCUUUGAUACUCUGGGCGGCACGCGCGCUACAAUGGAUAAUACAACGUGUUACUUAACCGAAAGGUUAUGUAAAUCACAAAUGUUACGUCUUGAAUGGGAUAGUUUAUUGCAACUACAGACUUGAACUAGGAAUCCCUUGUAGGUACACUGAAGCAUAGUGUACCGAAUACGUCCCUGCCGUUUGUACACACCGCCCGUCGUUUCUUCCGACUGAUACUCAUUGUGAAUUACGGGGAUGCGUUAGCAAAAUCGUUGUAAAUGCUGGGUAUUGGAGGAAGAAAAAGUCGUAACA